rnacentral:misc_RNA from 1 species
AAGUCGUAACAAGGUUUCCGUAGGUGAACCUGCGGAAGGAUCAUUAACACGUAUCCAAACGUUAAACCCCCCUGUGAACCUUCACCUGUACUCGUACGUCCGUUAGAAAAAGCAGCAAUCCCUGGUAAAUCAUCGCCGAACAGUUUUCGAUUCAGGGACGUCUGCAAGGAGCGUGCAUGUUGUGCGAAGCAAGUGGCCUGGCAUCCCCAAGCAGUUAGUGUCUGAAAGUAUGACGCAGUCACGAUCGUUGGAGGCCCGACCGGGUCGCUGGGCGCAAGCCCCCCUAUAACAAACCCCCUGCCAAUCGCGGCCGCGAUAAUACGCAGUCGACCAAAAACCGAACAACUGUGAACAAUGGAUAUCUUGGUUC